AUACAGAGGGUGCAAGCGUUAAUCGGAUUUACUGGGCGUAAAGCGCGCGUAGGUGGCUAAUUAAGUCAAAUGUGAAAUCCCCGAGCUUAACUUGGGAAUUGCAUUCGAUACUGGUUAGCUAGAGUAUGGGAGAGGAUGGUAGAAUUCCAGGUGUAGCGGUGAAAUGCGUAGAGAUCUGGAGGAAUACCGAUGGCGAAGGCCUCCAUAUGUUCUAAUACGGACGCUGAGUUGCGAAAGCCUGGGUAGCAACAAGGAGUUGAUACCCUGGUAGUCCCUUCCGUAAACGAUGUCUACUAGCCGUUGGGGCCCUUGAGGCUUUAGUGGAGCAGCUAACGCGAUAAGUAGACCGCCUGGGGAGUACGGUCGCAAGACUAAAACACAAAGGAAUUGACGGGG
rnacentral:rRNA from 1 species